AUAAAAUAAAUGUACCCAUAAUUCAAUAAAUUGAUUUCAAAUUUUUUAAAACUGAUCAUUCGCCUCAAGUACACUUUCCUUAAGUGAUUUCAAAAUAUGGUGUGAUAGUUUUGACCGCCAGCCGUCUACUGAUCACAUUUCUCAGAACAACCGUUUACUUCAGACACGGUUUAUUAUUUUGCAUUCAAAACACUAUUAGUAUAUUGGUGGGAAGGAUAUUUUCUUAAUAGGCCACGGUCGAUCUUUAAACAUUUUUUUUUUUUUUUAAUCGAAUUUCGUUAAUGAAUAUUUAAAAUCAGAUUUUCUUGGACUGUAUAUUUUAUGAACACUUUUUUUAUUUGUUUAAAUAAUUGAUUUUAAUUAUUUACUUCAUAAUAUGAUAGUAUGAAUAGAUGUAGGUAAAUUAUUUUUUACGAAUCGGAAAUAAUGCGGCGUAUUUAUAAUAUUUGUAUUAUUGCAGAUAAUUUAUUGAUUUUUAAUGACUUGGGGGGGAAGUUAGGUUUUACGAAGCGUUGGUUUUAGAUAGUUUCGAAAUCUUCGACCACAGAACAAUUUUUUUGAAGGCCUUCAAGACUAAGCAAUUUGAAUUUGAAAACAUUGAUAACAAAAUCGUCCAUUGUAUAUUAUGAUACUUUUGCAUGUUCACGAUAAAAUAUGAUGCGGUAAUUUUGAAUCGAAUUGGUGUCGAAAUGGAUUCUAGAACGCUAAUAUACAUAUAUGAGACCUUUCGAACCAUGCUUAAACCACUGUAGUUUUAGG